GUGGCUGUAGCUCAAUGGUUAGAGCAUCAGCUUGUGGAGCUGAGGGUUGCGGGUUCGACUCCCGUCAGCCACC
rnacentral:tRNA from 1 species